CCCCACUAUGCCUAAUCGUAAACUUUUACUUACAUUAAAUCGCCAGGGAACUACGAGCUAAGCUUAAAACCCAAAGGACUUGACGGUACCCCAUAUCCCCCUAGAGGAGCCUGUCCUAUAAUCGAUAAUCCACGUUUAACCUCACCAUUUUUUGUUAAUCAGCCUGUAUACCUCCGUCGCCAGCUUACCACGUGAGCGAUUUUUAGUGAGCUUAAUGUUUUUACACCAACACGUCAGGUCAAGGUGCAGCAAAUGAAAUGGGAAGAGAUGGGCUACACUUUCUAUUCUAGAAGAAACGAAAAACUAUUUAUGAAAAUCUAGUUGGAAGGCGGAUUUAGCAGUAAAAAGAAAUCAACAUGUUCAUUUUAACCCGGCACUGGGGUGUGU
rnacentral:rRNA from 1 species